AUGCCCAGGGUCCCGGUAUCUGGAAUUUCUGAGAUGCGGGCACAACCAUCCACGAGGGCAGCAGAUGAAAAACUCCUGCUCCAGAAGCUUGCACACUUCUCUGGGCAACCACCACUGCUGUCUGGGCGACCAGGGGAUUUCCUAGGUUGGCACUGCCAUGAGGGUCCAACUGGAAGGGCACGGCACGGCUUGGCUCGGCACGGCACAGCAGGGCACGGCACGGAGCACCGCGGCAAUUCGAACAUCGCAGCCGCCGGGCACGGCGGGCACUGCGGGGCCGGCUCUGGCGGCCACAGUGGCGGCUGCAGGGCUGAGUGUUCCUGCCCGCAGAUCCCGGGGGAAUGUGAUCCCAAAGUGAUGGCCAUUCCCGGGAGCCAUCGCCACUCGGGGCACAACAGAAUGUCAGAUCCUGACAUGUCUUCUCGAGAGAAAAAGCACGGCUCCGUGUGGCCGCGCCGUGGGAAAGGAGCCCGCUGCAGCAUGCGGGAGCAGCUCUGGUGCCGUGCCCAGCCUCGGGCGAGCGGCUCGGAGGGGCUCCCGGCGGCACAGCCGGGGCGCGGGGCCACGCUGGGAGCAGCUGGACAGGCCACGAAUUCCUGCCGGCGGCCGGCCCGGCGGGGCAUAGCAACGGGAGCCGGGGGAGGAACGGGAAGCAGCAGGAGCUGUGAGAAAGCGAGCGGAGCCGCGGGGCCAGGCGGGGGCCGGAGCGGGGGCGCGGAGGAGGAGGAGGAGGCGGCAGGGGCGGCUCGGGCCCUCCCGCCGGGCACGGCUCCUCUCCGAACACCCCCCAAAGCCGCCGGUUUGCGGCCGCUCCCGUUCGUGCCAGCGUGCACCGGGCUCGGCCCCCAGAGCGGCCGCGACGCGCACGGCAAUGCCGCCAGCCCCGCAGCGGGGCACUGCUGCCUCCCCGCGCUGCCAGCCGGGGCACACAGCGAGUGCCCCCUCCGGCACUGCUGCCCGCCGCUCACUGCGCCUCUCGCUGCCUCGGCCGAGGCUGCGGAACGGCAGCGCUCCCCGGCCGCGGGCGCAUUUUGA
rnacentral:lncRNA from 1 species